GUAAAAAUGUAAAAUGUCAGGGUCCUUUAAAUGCAAACCCAACGAUCCAUGUACCGGAAGUGGCGUAACCGGAAGACAAAUCGAAAGUUCUAUGGCGGUGUUUUCCAUUGUGACUUCGCUAUUUGCUGAUGCGGUGUCUAAGCGAAGAUUUUUUUGCUUUUCGUAGUGGUAUGUUUCGUAAAGAUGACUUAUCCGCACACAGUCUGUCCGCUAUAGCCAAAGUAUAUAUACAUUAAUCCAGAGUCGAAGAGAUGGAUGAGAUCCAGGAGAGCUCGGAGCCCGGCAGUCCUCUGUGCAGUCCCUGUCUGGAGCCGGACACACCGGAUUCCCUGAAUAAUGCCUGUCUGAUGAAUGACACUGACCCCCUGUUUGAAGACAAUGGACACUUUCAUGAAUUUUCCUCCACUUUUGUUCCCGAGACCCCUAGCCCCCUGAUUCACAGAAGAAAACGUCAUGCCCAGAAAGAUAGCGACAGAAAUGUGGCAACAUCAUCCUGUUCAGAUGGAAGAAAAUGGGAAAGACAUGAACACAUUCCAGGUUACAUGAGCACCACUCCAAGCUCCCAGAGAACGAUGAAGCGGCGCAGGCUGGAGGACUCGAGUGCAAGCACACUGCGUGGACACUCUACCGUUCCACCAGGAGCAAACGGAUUUGUAACGGCCUCGUCUCUUUUACCCCCUGAUUUUACGUGGUUGGAGUCUCCACGUCCAACAACCUCCUCUGCUUCUCAUGUUUUUACGUCUUCCAAACCCUCGUCCUCAGCUGGGUCUUCAACGUCUGCACUGGAUCCAACUAGUGAUCCGGCUUAUUUACAUGAGCUGCUAGUAAUGGGUCACCCCUCUAAGCAAAAAACACUAAACACCAGCAAUGGAAGGGAACAGAGGUCCAAAAAGACCAAAUCUAAAUCCUCUAAAAGUACAUCAGCACGCUCUUCUUUACACGCAAUAGAGAAUGAAGCUUCACUGCUGGAUGCAGCAAAGAGAAUGCAAGAACCAGCAAGUUCGCCUGUAUGUCCGAUACCAGAAGAUAUUGUCAUCAUAGAGGAUGAUGCUGAUGAUGUCGCGGUGGAGAGCAUGGUUCGCACCGUUCAGAUGGCUGAGGAUGAAGCGUAUGCCAGAAGCCUUCAGGAACAGUUUGAUAUGGAGGAGCGAAUGGAGCAGCAGAGGCUACAGAACAGAAACAACCACAUGGCUGAUCCGUAUGCUGGCUUGGGCUGGAUUUCUCCUUGGGCCUCAGUGAUCAACUCUGCAUCUCUCUCACACGGGCCCUCUGAGCUUUCAGAGCUGCAGCAGGUCAUCUUUGGAGAGCAACCCCGUAAGUCACCAAACACCAGCCAAUCUCUGUCUUGAUGAUUUCAUUUGAAUUAAGAGCAGGUUUUAAUAAAUGUUCAAAAUCAUAUUAGUAUGAAUUAUAA
ensembl:lncRNA